rnacentral:lncRNA from 1 species
AAGGCAACUUUAAUAUGCUUUGAUAGGGACUCUUGUCAGAGACUUUCUCCAGCUAGCUUCUUCUUUCUUGAAGAAUGCCAAGUGACGGGAGUUAUAUCGCAGAGCUCCUUUGCAAAUUGGCUUCCAUUUCUCAAGAACUCGUUGCAAAUAAGAACUCAGUUCUUCCCACAGGCCUCAACUGGCCAUUUUCUGUAACCAGGCAAUGGCUCAAGUGGAGGAAUUGUUACACCAACCUAUCUCUAAACCCUUUGACCUACAGAUUCUACUGCCUGUAGAGUGAACUGGGAGCUUAGCAGAAUCAUCAUUAAAGAGAUCAGAGAGACUUCUUCCAGCAUCUGAUGGGAGCAGAUGCACAGUCCCACAACCAAACAUUAGGUGGAGUUCAAAGAGUCCUGGGGAGACGGGAGGAAGGAUCUGAGAAACCAGAUUGGUCAGGAACAUACCGUGAGUGAGAAUGUUGCCCAGAGAACUAACUGACUGAGACUUGUGGGAACUUGCACAGAUCAGUAAUCCUGUGGAGCUCUAACCUGGGUACUUUACAUACAUAUGUUAUGGCUGAGUGGCUUGGUGUUCUUGUAGAAAUCAGGGUCUGUCCCUAACUAACUCUUUUUCCUAUCUGUGGAACCCAUUUUCUCUUACUGGGUUGUCUUGCCUAUCUUUGAUGUGAUGGUAUGUGCCUGGUCUUAUUGUAGUUUGUUAUAACUUGCUUGAUAUUUGGUUGAUGUCCCUGGGAGGCCGGCUCUUCUCAUCGGAGAGAGAAGAGGGAGGGGAAAUUGGUUGAGAUGUAAUUCAUGAGAGAAUAACAAGAAAACAAAGUCUAAUUCAGUUAGUAGAUUCGUAGACUAACACCUUGGUCACACGUGUACUUCAAGCUGCUGUCUCUCUGUGUGUGAAUCCAUUCGUAUGCAUGUGCAGUAGUCAGAGGCAGCUUUUGGGAACUGUUUUUUUUUUUUUUUUCCUUCUGUUUUGUGGGUUUCAGAAUUAGAUCUCAGUUGAUCAAGCUUGACAGCAAGUGCCUGUACACACUGAACCCUCUCAUUGAUCCCCUAAUAUAGUUUCCAAUAGUCUGUAAAGGGCAUAUAUUUGCACUAUAAUCUUAUUUUUAAAGCAAAAAGUAAACUUAAGUGUUCAUUUGAAUGGGCAAGGAUGGAAAAUAGGUUGUCUGAGGAUAUCAAGUUAAUUGAAGAAUUUUACUAAAAUUAUCCUAGGAGUUUUCUUGUUUAGUACAAUGAAUUAAAACACCUUAAACAUUAAUAGGUAACAUUUACACAUUAGUUACAUGGUCAAGAGAUAAUUUUAGAAUUUUAAAUAAUUUUUAAUGUAUGGUAUUACGUCUAAUUUAAAGAAAUUUUCUCUCC